rnacentral:rRNA from 1 species
GAGAGUUGAUCCUGGCUCAGGAUGAACGCUAGCUACAGGCUUAACACGAUGCAAGUCGAGGGGCGAGCGGGAAGUUAGCUUGCUAACUUGCCGGCGACCGGCGCACGGGUGAGUAACGCGUAUCCAACCUUCCCUACAGUAGGGUAUAGCCCGGCGAAAGUCGGAUUAAUGCCCUAUGUUCUUCUUUGAUGGCAUCUGAUGAGAAGCAAAGAUUUCAUCGCUAUAGGAUGGGGAUGCGUCUGAUUAGCUUGUUGGCGGGGUAACGGCCCACCAAGGCAACGAUCAGUAGGGGUUCUGAGAGGAAGGUCCCCCCACAUUGGUACUGAGACACGGACCAAACUCCUACGGGAGGCAGCAGUGAGGAAUAUUGGUCAAUGGGCGAGAGCCUGAACCAGCCAAGUAGCGUGCAGGACGACUGCCCUAUGGGUUGUAAACUGCUUUUAUAGGGGAAUAAAGUGAGGUACGUGUACCUUUUUGUAUGUACCCUAUGAAUAAGGACCGGCUAAUUCCGUGCCAGCAGCUGC